CGUUGGCCGAGGCCGCCGAGGAUGCGUUCUUGUGGCUGCCGGACGACGAGGACAGGUGGAGGAAGGACCAGAAGCUCUUCUUGCGCGGGCUGUCCGCGGUGAUCGCGGAGGGAGCGGGCGCCGGCGGCAGCGGCUCCUCCGGCCGCGGCGCGACCGACUUGCUCCGCUUGAGCCCGCCGCCGCCCCCUCCCUGCGCGGGCAUCACCUUGCGCGACGCCGCCGCCGAAGGGUAGAGCGGCACCGGCGCCUCCGAGGAGGCGCGGUUGGACGACGGCGGCGUCGAGGACGACGACGCGGACGCCGGCGGCGGCGGCGGGUGGAAGGGGCUGGACUUGGACGAGGAGACCAGCAUGCCGAGCUUCUCCUGCAGGCAGAAGGCGCAGAUGCCGCCGGCGCCCGCCCCUGCAGCCGCCGUUGCGCCGGGAGGGUAGGGGUGUUCGCUGCAGUACACCGCGCCGUCCUGAUCCGCCGCAGCCGCCACUGCCGCCGCCGCCGCCGCCGCCGCCGUCGCGUCAGCCGCUUUCUCCUCCAUUCUUGAACCCGCUCGC
rnacentral:lncRNA from 1 species